GGAUAGUGAUAGGACACUUUCUAUAGAUUUGUUUAGCAACAACUGACUCACCUACUGGAGUAGAAACCGAGAAGGGCUUGGGAAUUUUUUUAGAACUUAUCUCAAAAUUUACUACAACUAAUGGGGUUAUAUAAGAGAAACUAAACCUAGGGUCUAUCAACAUGUAAACAUCAAUGUGAAAAACAUGAAGCAUACUAGUAACAACAUCUGGU
rnacentral:lncRNA from 1 species